rnacentral:rRNA from 1 species
AGAGCGAACGCUGGCGGCAGGCCUAACACAUGCAAGUCGAACGGACCCUUCGGGGUUAGUGGCGGACGGGUGAGUAACACGUGGGAACGUGCCUUUUGGUUCGGAAUAGCUCCUGGAAACGGGUGGUAAUGCCGAAUGUGCCCUUCGGGGGAAAGAUUUAUCGCCAUUAGAGCGGCCCGCGUCUGAUUAGCUAGUUGGUGAGGUAAUGGCUCACCAAGGCGACGAUCAGUAGCUGGUCUGAGAGGAUGACCAGCCACA